UCUAAGACUCAAAUAUUUCUAUUAUCAUCUUGGAUCCACAAUUAAUCCUACGGGUCCUUAGGAUUGGUAUAUUCUUUUCUAUCCUGUAGUUUGUAGUUUCCCUGAAUCAAGCCAAGUAUCACACCUCUUUCUACACAUCCUGUAUAUUGUCCCCUUUGUUCCGUGUUGAAAUAGAACCUUAAUUUAUUACUUAUUUUUUUAUUAGAUUUUUGAUUUGUUAGUGAAUAGAUAUUAGUAUUAGACGAGAUUUUACGAAACAAUUAUUUUUUUAUUUCUUUAUAGGAGAGGACAAAUCUUUUUUUUUUC
rnacentral:lncRNA from 1 species